CAGCAGCCACGGGAAUACGAAGGGUGCAAGCGUUACUCUGAAUUACUGGGCGUAAAGCGUGCGUAGGUGGUGGUUUAAGUCCGUUGUGAAAGCCCUGGGCUCAACCUGGGAAUUGCAGUGGAUACUGGGUCACUAGAGUGUGGUAGAGGAUAGUGGAAUUUCCGGUGUAGCAGUGAAAUGCGUAGAGAUCGGAAGGAACAUCUGUGGCGAAGGCGACUAUCUGGGCCAACACUGACACUGAGGCACGAAAGCGUGGGGAGCAAACAGGAUUAGAUACCCCUGUAGUCCCUGUCUCUUAUAC
rnacentral:rRNA from 1 species